CAGUAGCCGCGGGAAUACGAAGGGGGCUAGCGUUGUUUGGAAUUACUGGGCGUAAAGCGCACGUAGGCGGAUUGUUAAGUUAGGGGUGAAAUCCCAGGGCUCAACCCUGGAACUGCCUCUAAUACUGGCAAUCUCGAGUCCGAGAGAGGUGAGUGGAAUUCCGAGUGUAGAGGUGAAAUUCGUAGAUAUUCGGAGGAACACCAGUGGCGAAGGCGGCUCACUGGCUCGGUACUGACGCUGAGGUGCGAAAGCGUGGGGAGCAAACAGGAUUAGAUACCCCGGUAGUCCCUGUCUCUUAUAC
rnacentral:rRNA from 1 species